rnacentral:rRNA from 1 species
CGGGGAAUAUUGCACAAUGGGCGCAAGCCUGAUGCAGCCAUGCCGCGUGUGUGAAGAAGGCCUUCGGGUUGUAAAGCACUUUCAGCGAGGAGGAAGGUGGGUGAGCUUAAUACGCUCAUCAAUUGACGUUACUCGCAGAAGAAGCACCGGCUAACUCCGUGCCAGCAGCCGCGGUAAUACGGAGGGUGCAAGCGUUAAUCGGAAUUACUGGGCGUAAAGCGCACGCAGGCGGUUUGUUAAGUCAGAUGUGAAAUCCCCGGGCUCAACCUGGGAACUGCAUUUGAAAACUGGCAAGCUAGAGUCUCGUAGAGGGGGGUAGAAUUCCAGGUGUAGCGGUGAAAUGCGUAGAGAUCUGGAGGAAUACCGGUGGCGAAGGCGGCCCCCUGGACGAAGACUGACGCUCAGGUGCGAAAAGCGUGGGGAGCAAAACAGGAUUAGAUACCCUGGUAGUCCACGCUGUAAAACGAUGUCGAUUUUGGAGGUUGUGCCCUUGAGGCGUGGCUUCCGGAGCUAACGCGUUAAAUCGACCGCCUGGGGAGUACGGCCGCAAGGUUAAAACUCAAAUGAAUUGACGGGGUCAUAGCUGUUUCCU